GUGGAGGGGAGGAAAGAACGGAGCAGGGCAGCUGGAGGAGGCUGGAAGAAGCAAUGGGAAACACAGAGGAGAAGUAGGGAAGGUGUCAAGUGAAACAGACCUGAAGAAGAGCAAGGCCAGUACCUGAGCUGUAACCUGGAACUAAGAAGAGGAAAGAGAAGUAGAAGCCAUGGCUCCCAAGCCCGCAGCAAAGCCCCCGGCAAAGCCCGCAGGUCCUACUCCGGCGCCACCACCAGCAACACCACAAGCAGCACCAAAGACCUUCAUGGGUAGGAAGAUAAAGUCACUUCCGCCAAAGAUGAAAACGAUGCUCAUCUUAAGCUUUGGAAGCGUGUGUUUUGCCAUCUUCAUUCUAUCCACUGCUGGCUAUAUUCGGUUACGUUUAGCGAAGUCAAAUCCUUAUGUACCACCGCUGAACCAACUGAGGAAAGCAUUGGCAGAAGGGCGCAGAAAUCCUUUGAUCGGUUAUAAGCACUGUAAGUGGAAGAUGUCGGGAUAUCAGAUGAAGUAAGGCAGUUGCCAAACUACUUAUCAGAAUCUAAGAAGGAUCUCCGUAACCGGAAAGCAAAGUACCAAUCCAUCUUCAAGAAAGGAAGAACGAGAUCCGCUGACCAGUGGGAGAUUUUUGGGAGGAAUAUCUACUACAUUUCAAAUGUAGAGAAGACAUGGUACGAUGCGGAGAGCUUUUGCAUGUCUAGGGAUGCCCACUUGGCUUCCAUCUUAACUGAAGAUGAGCAGUUUUUCAUCAGCUCUCAGCUCAACCACCCUACUUGGAUCGGUCUUACAGAUGAAAAUGUGGAAGGCGACUGGGAAUGGACCGAUGGUUCCAGAGUGAUAACACAGUUUUGGUCCGAGGGCAGCCCUAGCUCUGAUGACGACUACACAAACAUGGAUCGAGACUGCGCCACUAUUGAUCCUUCACAAAUCAGAAACAACUGGAACGACACUGACUGCCACGAACUGAAAAGAUGGAUUUGUAAGGAGAGUUUAGACAUUGAGGGACAAUCAAUUUGGCCAAUCUCAUUCCAUGGAGGAACUAUGGAAUACUAGAAGACCGUGGUGUCUUCUAGCAGGAAAUCUACUAACCACAGAAUAAACAUGGAGAAACUAGA